rnacentral:rRNA from 1 species
CACGUAGGCACCAAGCGUUGUCCGGAUUUAUUGGGCGUAAAGAGCUCGUAGGCGGUUCGGUAAGUCGGAUGUGAAAACUUUGGGCUCAACCCAAAGCGUGCACUCGAUACUGCCAUGACUAGAGUUCGGUAGGGGAGUGGGGAAUUCCUAGUGUAGCGGUGAAAUGCGCAGAUAUCAGGAGGAACACCGGUGGCGAAGGCGGGUCUCUGGGCCGAUACUGACGCUGAGGAGCGAAAGCGUGGGGAGCGAACAGG